UUUUAGCCCUGAUUGAAGCGGCAUCCUUUUUUUGAUUUUUCUUCAAACAAAGAUAUAGCGAAAAGCAGGAUUAGCU
rnacentral:sRNA from 1 species